UACGAGGGGGGCAAGCGUUGUUCGGAAUUACUGGGCGUAAAGGGCGCGUAGGCGGCCUUCUAAGUCGAACGUGAAAUCCCCGGGCUCAACCCGGGAACUGCGUCCGAUACUGGAAGGCUUGAAUCCGGGAGAGGGAUGCGGAAUUCCAGGUGUAGCGGUGAAAUGCGUAGAUAUCUGGAGGAACACCGGUGGCGAAGGCGGCAUCCUGGACCGGCAUUGACGCUGAGGCGCGAAAGCCAGGGGAGCAAACUGG
rnacentral:rRNA from 1 species